GAACUGCGGGAGAAGAGGGUGUUACCGGGGUCGGAUUUGGAACGUGGGGCUGGGCUGGGCGGACGUGGGCAGGGAGAUACGACUAACACCGCAGAGAGAGUCCGAGGCGUGGCCGUGCCCUGGGCGGACCUCAGGUGGCCGCGACACGCCGGAACAGACACACGCGUUCUGUCCGCGUGGCGCUGGGGAUUUUCACCCACACCUGCUCCCCCGUGACGCCAUGCCUUUGUCACAGGCGGGGAAACCGAGACUGGAAGUGGGACCAAACUGUUCCCACUUGAGGACAAAAGGAAGCGAGAGGAGGGUGGCCGUCUUAUUGGCAUUGCUGUGACACGGUGACAGAAAUGGCGUGCGUCCCUCGCAAUUCAUUGUGGAUCCUGGGUCCGCCCAAGGGGUGUGUGUGUGUUCAGGUGCUUUGGAGGAGGCAGUCCAGGGUUUUUAUUAGAUUCUCAAAGGCCCCCGAGGGUAAGGACCCAUUUAUCAGGCCACUCCCACUCCUAUGGCCCCUGCUUUUUUGCCUGGGAGCCCAGACCCCGCCCCCCGUAUCAGUUCCGCCCCCACCUCCCAAACACCCCCCACCUGUGUGAGCCCUGCACUGCCUCCCAGUGGGAAAGGGACUCCCUUUCGUCUAGAAUACCUCCCUAGGGACGCAGCACCCCCCAGGGCAGGCGGCCAGCUGCUGGGGGACUUUGGGAAAGACAGGUGCUCCCACCUGACCCUACAUCUAGUCCUCUAAGCAGUCAUCGCUCCCACGGCCGGCCUGCCGCAGCCUCCGGUUUCCACCUUACCCGAACGGUGUCGUAGGCCAGAAAUCCUGACAUCGUCCCGGAGCCGUACUGGAGGUGGAUGGGCCGGCCCGAGAUCCGGAAGGUGGAGGACCGCAGAGGGUUGAAGACGUUGUGAUUAGCUGCAGACACAGGAGAGACGUCCAAAGAGACAGAGACGAAUAACAGAGACAUAGACAUGUGGAAAUGGAGAGAGAGCAGAGACCCAGAAACAAAUGCAGGAGAAAUGCUGUUCCUAGACAGAACCACGCGUGCGGUUGCACAGGUUGUGCACUGAGCAAUUCCAAGGAGCACCUUUUCACAUAGCUCGUAUGACUGGCACCCCUGGAGCGGUACAACCCUGCAGGCCUGCCCCAAGACACCCGGGGCCCCAAAGUGCACAUGUUCCCCCGAGGGUCCUGGAGGUACAUGCGCUGGGAGCCUCAUUUGGAGAGGAGAUUGCUACGGGGUCAAACGUCACAGUGAAGACACUGAGGGACAGCACACUGCAUACAAGUGACUUGAGGUGAUGGGAUGGCACAG